rnacentral:rRNA from 1 species
GACGAACGCUGGCGGCGUGCUUAACACAUGCAAGUCGAACGGAAAGGCCCUGCUUUUGUGGGGUGCUCGAGUGGCGAACGGGUGAGUAACACGUGAGUAACCUGCCCUUGACUUUGGGAUAACUUCAGGAAACUGGGGCUAAUACCGGAUAGGAGCUCCUGCUGCAUGGUGGGGGUUGGAAAGUUUCGGCGGUUGGGGAUGGACUCGCGGCUUAUCGGCUUGUUGGUGGGGUAGUGGCUUACCAAGGCUUUGACGGGUAGCCGGCCUGAGAGGGUGACCGGCCACAUUGGGACUGAGAUCAGGCCCAGACUCCUACGGGAGGCAGCAGUGGGGAAUAUUGCACAAUGGGCGGAAGCCUGAUGCAGCAACGCAGCGUGAGGGAUGACGGCCUUCGGGUUGUAAACCGCUUUCGCCUGUGACGAAGCGUGAGUGACGGUAAUGGGUAAAGAAGCACCGGCUAACUACGUG